AACGUAGGACACAAGCGUUAUCCGGAUUUACUGGGCGUAAAGCGCGUUCAGGCGGUUUGGCAAGUCGGGCAUGAAAUCUCUCGGCUCAACCGGGAGAGGUUGUCCGAUACUGCUGGACUUGAGGGCAGUAGAGGGUGGUGGAAUUCCGGGUGUAGUGGUGAAAUGCGUAGAUAUCCGGAGGAACACCAGUGGCGAAAGCGGCCACCUGGACUGCACCUGACGCUGACACGCGAAAGCUAGGGGAGCGAACGGG
rnacentral:rRNA from 1 species